UACGUAGGGUGCGAGCGUUGUCCGGAAUUACUGGGCGUAAAGAGCUCGUAGGUGGUUUGUCGCGUUGUUCGUGAAAUCUCACGGCUUAACUGUGAGCGUGCGGGCGAUACGGGCAGACUAGAGUACUGCAGGGGAGACUGGAAUUCCUGGUGUAGCGGUGAAAUGCGCAGAUAUCAGGAGGAACACCGGUGGCGAAGGCGGGUCUCUGGGCCGAUACUGACACUGAGGAGCGAAAGCGUGGGGGAGCGAACAGG
rnacentral:rRNA from 1 species